UUAACAUGUAAAUCCUUCAACCUACUCACUGCAAUAUCAUUAAUAAUAAUAAUGGGUGUUGGAUAUCAAAGAUUGUGCUCCACUCAUUUCCACUCUUUGGUUAUUCCAACAUUGAUAAAAAUUUCCCAUCCGUCCAACAUCAGAAUUAAACAACAUUUCACGCUGGAGAUUCAAUAUGGGAUCGAGCAUAUCAUUAUGAGAUCGACUGAUGGUGAUAGGGCCGGACUUUCAUAUCUAUAACGGUGAUGACAACUACUUUCCAUCAGAUGUGUGUUGUUCCGACCAAAUCCAUGGCUGUUCAGAUAAUCAAGUUUUCUAAGAUAAAUUUUCUUUCGCUACUCUCUCUCAUAACUUUAUAAAUCCUAGUAUAUUUUUUGCUAAUAUACCUUUUAUAUA